rnacentral:rRNA from 1 species
CUACGGGGGGCUGCAGUGGGGAAUAUUGGACAAUGGGGGAAACCCUGAUCCAGCAACGCCGCGUGUGUGAAGAAGGCCUGCGGGUUGUAAAGCACUUUCGGUUGGGAGGACUGCUUCUAGCACUAAUAUUGUUGGAAGUUGACGUUACCUUCAGAAGAAGCACCGGCUAACUCCGUGCCAGCAGCCGCGGUAAUACGGAGGGUGCAUGCGUUAAUCGGAAUUACUGGGCGUAAAGCGCGCGUAGGCGGCUAGAUCAGUCGGGUGUGAAAGCCCCGGGCUUAACCUGGGAACUGCAUCCGAUACUGUCUAGCUUGAGUACAGGAGAGGAGAGUGGAAUUCCACAUGUAGCGGUGAAAUGCGUAGAUAUGUGGAGGAACACCAAUGGCGAAGGCAGCUCUCUGGCCUGAUACUGACGCUGAGGUGCGAAAGCAUGGGGAGCAAACAGGAUUAGAUACCCUUGUAGUC